rnacentral:rRNA from 1 species
CCUACGGGAGGCAGCAGUGGGGAAUAUUGCACAAUGGGGGAAACCCUGAUGCAGCAACGCCGCGGGAGUGAAGAAGUAUUUCGGUAUGUAAAGCUCUAUCAGCAGGGAAGAAGAUGAAGGUACCUGUGUAAGAAGCCCCGGCUAACUACGGGCCAGCAGCUGCGGUACUACGUAGGGGGCAGGCGUUAUACGGAUUUACUGGGUGGAAAGGGAGCGUAGACGGUGAGACAAGUCUGAAGUGAAAGCCCGGGGCUCAACCCCGGGACUGCUUUUGAAACUGCCUGACUGGAGUGCUGGAGAGGCAAGCGGAAUUCCUAGUGUAGCGGUGAAAUGCGUAGAUAUUAUGAAGAACACCAGUGGCGAAGGCAGCUUACUGGACAGUAACUGACGUUGAGGCUCGAAAGCGUGGGGAGCAAACAGGAUUAGAUACCCCAGUAGUC